rnacentral:tmRNA from 1 species
GGGGGUGUUCUGGAUUCGACCUUGCGCCUACGGGCAACGUGGCAUGCCGGGGGUGAUGGCUUCCCCGUAACCCGCCAUCAAAAAAUCAAACGCCAACAACGAAGAACUGGCUCUCGCUGCCUAAAGUUGCAGUGACGUCCUUACCCUGACACCUGCUAGGGGAUAAGGGCGACGACAGCAGGCAUAGUGUGCGGAGCCGCCCGCAGUCCGCACACCGUAUCUUCAACUGGGGGCUGGCCGGUGCCUCAGCGGGCUCCAUCGCGUGACACCGGCGAGAACAAAGUGGAGCUAAGCAUGUAGAGGCGUUGCGCAAGGGCCCAAGGGACGCGGGUUCAAAUCCCGCCACCUCCACCA